rnacentral:rRNA from 1 species
UGAGGAAUAUUGGUCAAUGGGCGGGAGCCUGAACCAGCCAAGCCGCGUGAGGGAGGAAGGCCCUAUGGGUCGUAAACCUCUUUUGUCAGGGAACAAAAGCGAGUAUGUAUACUAGUCUGAGUGUACCUGAAGAAAAAGGCAUCGGCUAACUCCGUGCCAGCAGCCGCGGUAAUACGGAGGAUGCGAGCGUUAUCCGGAUUUAUUGGGUUUAAACGGGUGCGUAGGCGGCGGUGCAAGUCAGCGGUAAAAGCCCGGGGGCUCAACCCCGGCGAGCCGUUGAAACUGCAGUGCUAGAGAAGGCGAGAGGUACGCGGAAUGCGCAGUGUAGCGGUGAAAUGCUUAGAUAUUGCGCAGAACUCCGAUUGCGAAGGCAGCGUGCUGGCGCCUGACUGACGCUGAGGCACGAAAGCGUGGGGAUCGAACAGGAUUAGAUACC